UACGGGGGGGGUAAGCGUUGUUCGGAAUUACUGGGCGUAAAGGGCGCGUAGGCGGUUCGUUAAGUCCUGUGUGAAAUCCCCCGGCUCAACUGGGGAACUGCCAUUGAUACUAUCAGUCUUGAAUACCGUGGAGGUCAGCGGAAUAUGUCAUGUAGCGGUGAAAUGCUUAGAUAUGACAUAGAACACCAAUUGCGAAGGCAGCUGGCUACUCGGAUAUUGACACUGAGGCACGAAAGCGUGGGGAUCAAACAGG
rnacentral:rRNA from 1 species